GACGAACGCUGGCGGCGUGCCUAAUACAUGCAAGUCGAGCGCAGGAAAUCGACGGAACCCUUCGGGGGGAAGUCGACGGAAUGAGCGGCGGACGGGUGAGUAACACGUAAAGAACCUGCCCUCAGGUCUGGGAUAACCACGAGAAAUCGGGGCUAAUACCGGAUGGGUCAUCGGACCGCAUGGUUCGAGGAUGAAAGGCGCUUCGGCGUCGCCUGGGGAUGGCUUUGCGGUGCAUUAGCUAGUUGGUGGGGUAAUGGCCCACCAAGGCGACGAUGCAUAGCCGACCUGAGAGGGUGAUCGGCCACACUGGGACUGAGACACGGCCCAGACUCCUACGGGAGUCAGCAGUAGGGAAUCUUCCACAAUGGACGAAAGUCUGAUGGAGCAACGCCGCGUGAACGAUGAAGGCCUUCGGGUCGUAAAGUUCUGUUGUAAGGGAAGAACAAGUGCCGCAGGCAAUGGCGGCACCUUGACGGUACCUUGCGAGAAAGCCACGGCUAACUACGUGCCAGCCGCCGCUGUAA
rnacentral:rRNA from 1 species